UUACGGCCAUAUCACGGGGAAGCACCGAUUCUCGAACGAUCGCCGUUAAGUUAAGCAACGUCGGGCCUGGUCAGUACGUAGAUGGGUGACGGCGAGAAAUAUCAGGUGCUGCAUGC